AAAACAACGCUGGUGACAACUGUGUGAGCGUGAACCAGAACGGCUCUGUAGAGCUCAAGGUGCAGAUGCUCAGUUCUCCGGGAAGGCAUGAGAGAAAAAGCAAAGUUUCCUUCAAGAAUUCAAGAUGACACACGAUCCCCUAUCAGCCUCAAUCAAUGGUUCUCAUCAGGAUUUCACUAAAAAGGAAUAAGUGUGAUUUAUUUAUUUUUUUCUGCAUGAACAUAAACAAGCCACUCACAAACUCACAGUGAUGGUGUCCAGCAGAGAUGUUGUAUAGAGCUCCGGGUUCAGGAGAGCAGCUGCUGAGGGAAACAAAUUCUAUCAACACUUCCUUGGCAACCUUGAAACCCAAGGUUUACCCAAUAUGACCGUGAAUAUUUUAAGACUCUCUGCUGCUGGAAAAAUUACACAUGAGAUAUAAAGAUGUCUCUUUCAGAAUGUUAUUUCGUGCAUGCUGGGAAGUAUCAACAGGGUGCCAGCCAGAGAAAAUAUCAAAACGACAGAAGUGGAGGCAGACUCUAAUUACAAAUUGGAUGUGUACAAAACCUUGAUGGUGUCGCUGUGAGAAGCAGGAAAACACAAACUCGUCGCAAAUAUUUCAACCUGCAGAAGCACAUACAAAUCACCAUGAGAGGGUAAACACAAGUUCACGACUUUGCUUUUACAAUGCACUGUAAGGCGGCUUUGUGAGAGUAAACCACGCAACAACAAUCAAGCCGUCAAUCAUAAGGCGCUGUGUGUUUGAGUGCGGCCCAUUGGUGGUCUUUGCCCCCUCGUAGCGGGGGGGGGGGGGGGGUUGCUGCAGUGUAACAGGCCCCUGCAUGGACACCAAAGACGAUGGUGUCAAACAGGCGCCAGCUGGUCGUGACUACUGUAAUCUCUGCCAUUGAUUAAAUGGGUUCCCAAGUCUUAGGGGGGCACCGGAGUCCUGAUGGGGCAGGACCACAGUGGAGGGCAAAUGGAUGAACACACCCUGGGCUGCUUUCUGAUGUCGUCUGAUGGGGCUGUUGGUGUGAAAGACAUCGGCGUUGGCAGCCCCAGAGAGAUAUUACCUGCUGUGUGGGUCUAUAGGACAAGGGGGAAUUUCUAAAGACGGCGGCUGGAUGGGUAGUGUGAAUAGAGGUUUAGAGAAAUACUGACAAAGCGUAAGAGUGAGCAGGCAGCGACUGCUGGGUGCCGCCUUUCUACAGAGCCAUUCAGAAAUAUUUCGAAUACCUCUGAAUACCUUGACUUACGUAUAUUGACAGAUGAGCAAAGAAAACACAGGGGGGAAAAAAGCAGGUCUCUAAUUCAGUUUUGUCAGUGCAAACAUGAAAUAUCAAAGUCCAAAAAUGACCUCUUUAGUGCCCUGAAUUCAAUGCAAAAGACUUAUGCAAAUUGUGACUGAGAGGAUGUUUUUCAGGCAAAAGGAACAUUUCUAAAUUGGUGAAAUAGUAUCGUUAAUACACAUAUAUUUAAAUGCAUUUAAUGGCUCAUUGAUAUUUACAGUGGUAGUGAAAUGUAGGUUUCCUGAUCAGACUAGGAUCCAUUGUAUUUAACUUGCAUAUAAAGUACAUUGUGUUUGCUUUGCUCAACAAACUACUGGACAGCAGUAAAUGUACCUCUGAUAAAUGCUACGUUGACAGACUACUGGUCUGUAAAUGCAAACACAUUUAGAAAGAAACGUUAAUACCGCCUGGAUUACAUUUGUAAUCACCACAGAAUGGAAAUGCUAUUAAUUAUUGUACAUUACUGCAACCAUCAGCAAAAUGUUCACUGGCAGCGUAUUAUGUUUUUCAACAAAAUUUGAUUUUGCAAUACGAAAUCCACUCUCAGCAGCUACAGCAUGAUUACGCUACACCACAAUCUUUCCCUCAUCUUAAACCCAAACAAGCUUCUGUUGCCAAAAUCGUACCACACCCCAGGUUUCAGGAUGCAAACUCCAGUCACUUGUGUCAAAGUCCUGCAUUUAGUACACCCAUCAUGCACCCCGACCUCCUCCAUGUACAAGAACAUGACACUUUGUUCCCUAUAGAAAGCCUGCUGAACGUAACUGCCGAAACAAAUUAGUUUUAUACACUUAAUUUCUGAGAGAUCUUCUUUGUCUGUUAUCUGUAUAGAAUUGAAAGAUUAACAUCUAAAUCUGAAUGAAAAAGAAAAUUGUGAUUUAGACAGCAAGUUGCACUACGUCUCAGAGAUAAUAUCACAAGAUUAUUAUCAAUGAUGAUUGAAACUAACAGAAUACAGCACUCCAGCACUGAAUAGUGUUAAUAGGCUCUCUUGAAGGGCGACUGAUCUGUCCCCAAAAAUCUUGAAAAUAAUUAUACGUAAUGGGCAUUUUGUGAUACAUAACUUCUAUCAUAUCCUCUUUCUAAAAACACCAGCAGAAGGUUUCCACUCCAAGACAAGACAGUCUUCAACAGCCCACAGCCCCUUGCAUACCCUUGAGCUAUUACGGCCUGUAAUUGAUGCACAUUAUGAAGUCAUAUUUUCACAGCAGAGAGGGGAAAGCUAAUUAUGAGCUGAAAUCAAAUAUAGACGUCGAGUGAAAAGGCAAUAUGUCACCGUGAAAAAUAGAGUAAUAAUAACCCCGCCGUAGGAUUUGACUGUUUUUUAGCUUGAGAAUGAGUGUGGCUAAAAAUGUCAUUUAACAAAACGUCUGAAAUUCAGCGUCUGAAAA